rnacentral:rRNA from 1 species
UAGUCAAUCUACCCUAUGGACGGGAAUAACCUCGGGAAACUGAGAAUAAUGCCCGAUAGAACAUUAUGCCUGGAAUGGUUUAUGUNNNAAAUAAUUUAUCGCCAUAGGAUGGGACUGCGGCCUAUCAGUUUGUUGGUGAGGUAAUGGCCCACCAAGACUAUUACAGGUACGGGCUCUGAGAGGGGUGGCCCGGAGAUGGGUACUGAGACACGGACCCNGGCCCUAUGGGGCGCAGCAGGCGAGAAAACUUUGCAAUGUGCGAAAGCACGACAAGGUUAAUCCGAGUGGUUUCUGCUAAANNAACCUUUUGUCAGUCCUAGAAACACUAACGAGUAAGGGGUGGGCAANUUCUGGUGU